rnacentral:pre_miRNA from 17 species
ACAUUCCCUCUCUGUAUAUUUGUAUUUAUACAUAUGGGUAGGAGGUGCCAUAUAAUAUGGCAGCUCCUACCCAUAUGUAUAAAUACAAAUAUACAGAGAAGGAAUGUU